rnacentral:rRNA from 1 species
UACGUAGGGGGCAAGCGUUGUCCGGAUUUAUCGGGCGUAAAGAGCGUGUAGGCGGCCAUGUAGGUCCGGUGUGAAAACUCGAGGCUUAACCUCGAGAUGUCAUCGGAAACCAUUUGGCUAGAGUCCGGAAGAGGAGAGUGGAAUUCCUGGUGUAGCGGUGAAAUGCGCAGAUAUCAGGAAGAACACCAAUGGCGAAAGCAGCUCUCUGGGACGGUACUGACGCUGAGACGCGAAAGCGUGGGGAGCGAACAGG